rnacentral:rRNA from 1 species
UAACACAUGCAAGUCGAGCGGAUGAAGGGAGCUUGCUCCUGGAUUCAGCGGCGGACGGAUGAGUAAUGCCUAGGAAUCUGCCUGGUAGUGGGGGAUAACGUUCCGAAAGGAACGCUAAUACCGCGUACGUCCUACGGGAGAAAGCAGGGGACCUUCGGGCCUUGCGCUAUCAGAUGAGCCUAGGUCGGAUUAGCUAGUUGGUGAGGUAAUGGCUCACCAAGGCGACGAUCCGUAACUGGUCUGAGAGGAUGAUCAGUCACACUGGAACUGAGACACGGUCCAGACUCCUACGGGAGGCAGCAGUGGGGAAUAUUGGACAAUGGGCGAAAGCCUGAUCCAGCCAUGCCGCGUGUGUGAAGAAGGUCUUCGGAUUGUAAAGCACUUUAAGUUGGGAGGAAGGGCUGUAGGCUAAUAUCCUGCGGUUUUGACGUUACCAACAGAAUAAGCACCGGCUAACUUCGUGCCAGCAGCCGCGGUAAUACGAAGGGUGCAAGCGUUAAUCGGAAUUACUGGGCGUAAAGCGCGCGUAGGUGGUUCGUUAAGUUGGAUGUGAAAGCCCCGGGCUCAACCUGGGAACUGCAUCCAAAACUGGCGAGCUAGAGUACGGUAGAGGGUAGUGGAAUUUCCUGUGUAGCGGUGAAAUGCGUAGAUAUAGGAAGGAACACCAGUGGCGAAGGCGACUUACCUGGACUGAUACUGACACUGAGGUGCG